rnacentral:lncRNA from 1 species
UUGAUUAUGGGGAUUAUAUUAGUUUUUUUUAAUAUAGAGAUGCAAUCCUCACUCAAGAUUUUCAUCUCAUGAAUUAAUCUCAACAAUUGAACUUUUGAAGGGCUUCAACAAUCUCAUUUAUAUCUGCAAAAGCAAAAUAAAAUAAAAAAAUAGGGCGAGGAUAAAGGUGAGAGAAGAUAGACAAACUAAUCCAUUUCAGGAUGUGUGUGCUCCCAUUCCAACAAAGAUCCCUCACAUGAGUCGAACUCUUGACAUUUUGAUUUAUCUGGUGAUCCUGUAGAACCUUACGUUGCUAGACCAAUACCUUGUUGGCAAAGAGAUUACAUGUUGAAAUAAAAUACAAUUCUAUCAUGAGUUUACACAUCAAGAAUGUUCCAAUAAAUCUUCCAAGUAUAAAUUGACUAAGUAUCUUCCUGUGGACAAAACAUCAAGUCUCUUCUCACUUGGUUCAUAUUUUCCUUUCCUAAGCUGAUACCGAUGUGUUACUGCUGAAAUAGUAUAAGCUUGUCCUUCUAUUGUUACACUCUCCCCACAUUGCAAGUUCUGCUUUCAAAAUUAAAUACAAAUAAGAAUAUUAAAUAAAUGUGUUCCUAUUUACAUUCUCAUAAUGUUGGAUCACAAGCAUCGAUAAUUGAAUCGAUGAUAUAAUGUGAAAUGAAAAUGAUAUAAAAGGAAAUAUAAGGAGUAAAAUGUGGUAUAUGUGAAAAAGUGAUAAGAAUAUAAAAAUUGAUCUACCACUAGUUUUCUGCUUACUGAACCAUAAUGCAAUGGACAAUGCUAAUUAACCAAAAUAGUUUGCCACAAUUCCUCUUCUCAUAUGAACCAUAUACCACUGUUCCAUUAAAACCAGUGUUGUUUGUACUAGAUAGUCUCACUGGUCCAACCAUAGACCAGAAUAGGGAACAACUACGUACAGGCUAGAAAAUUGUCUAGCAAGUCAAUCCGCUUUAAACCGCUGAAAAUUUAGUCGCUUUAAACUAGAUGGUUGGACCGGCUCUUUUGCUCAAAUUAAAUAAAAAAAGCCAAAAAUGGAACAUAUGCGAUAAAAUCAAUCGUGAAACUCUAUCCCAACUCAACACUUAUACAUCAUUAACUUGGAAUAUAUAUGAAUUUUUUAGUUGUCCGAUCUGACCAAACAGUUUAAUCGGAUAGAACUUAUACGGGACCUCUUCCGGUUUGAUGUCCUGCUCGGGUAUCAAACGCGCAACAAUAGUAGUAUACUUAAAUUUCAUUAUCAUUUUGCUUGUGUGUGCUGUAUAUUCCAACAUGUGCAUUGUCUUGAGUUUAUGCAUGUCUACGUCGUAGAAAAGAUUGCAUUCCCAUUCAUAUGUUCUCACUUCUCAUAUAGCAUGAGAUAUGCUAGAAUUAUAUAAUACACAGCUUUAUUCUUCCAAUCUGAGAAGCUCAAUUUCAGGAAACCAUGUCAUAAUUUUCAAAGCAGGAACAUAUAUCAUCCAAAGCCAUGCAUAUUCAUGGUUUUUACUUUCCAAUGAAUAAUUUAGAUUAUAUUACUAAUUACUAGAGUGCAAAGUUGUUUGACAAAGAGAAUGGAGGCUAAGUUGAUCUAUUUUAGAAUAGCAUGCCAAAAAUUUGCAAGGUUUCUUUUAAAGUAGCCUUUUCAGGAAGAUGCAUACAAUUCCUCUGAGAUAGAGAGGUACAAAUGGCCAUGCAAUAAGAAGACAAAUGAUUCACCAUCGAAAAUGACUAUAUCGACAGUUUUUCCUCUUCAAACAGUAGUUUCCGUCACAAUUCAGUGUUUAAUUCAGUUCAAACUAUUUCAUGAAGGGGGUGAGUUUAAUUCGCAGUUAAGCUGUCAAUAGCAAUUUGCCUAUAACUCAGCCUUAAUCACUUAGAUUGGGAUCUUUAGAAGUGAUUCCAUUCAAGAACCAAGGCAUAUUUUAUCCACUGUGACCUAACUCUGUAUAAACUCUCAAGAAGUACUACAACACAAAUAGAAGAAGGAACCACUAGUCCAAAGGAGAAAACAAACAUCAGAAUCAAAAGAAAUCAACAUCUAAAUAAUUGCCAGAAGGAUUCACACCAGGAACCUUUUCAGCUGUGAGUGUUGUUGCUUUCAUGGUCUCUUGUCUAGGAACCUCUCGAGGAUUCGCGCAACGAAACAGCGCGCCCAUUUAACAUUUCACAAGUAAGCCUCUGAUCAAGUCCCUUGUAGUAAAACUCGCGGUAUAAGAUUCUGGAAAUCUUAUGAACUAUUUGUGAGUUAAUUUUUUUAGGGCAAGAGAGAGAAGGGGAAGCUUGGGAGCCAUCUUACAAGUAUAUUUCAUGGUUCUCAAGCCUUUCAUUUACCUUCUUUGUCCUUCAGAAACCAACUCACAAACAAACCCUUAAGAGCUAGCCAACCAAUUAAAUAGAGUCGCUCUAUUCGCUAAACCUAUGAAUGGUGUUCGACGGAUUAAAAGCUCAUAUAAGAAUAUGCCAAAUGUCCGCCAAUCUACUGCAGUUCCAUGCCCUUCACCUUUGAUUAUCUCUAGUGCCAAAUACUCGUGCGUGCCUACAAAGGACAUCGAUCGUGCAUUCAUACGCUCAACAAGAAGCUCAGGGAGAGGAAUCACUUGAUCAUUCUUUGGUUUCAACUAUAUUAAAUCUAUUAUCAUGUUCACAUUUUAUCACUUAACAUUUAAUCCAUAUAACAUUUUCUUACCCAAUAUUGGUUAUAUUAGCUGACAGAAAAAAACUACAAAGUAUACCUUGAUUAUGGGGAUUAUAUUAGUUUUUUUUAAUAUAGAGAUGCAAUCCUCACUCAAGAUUUUCAUCUCAUGAAUUAAUCUCAACAAUUGAACUUUUGAAGGGCUUCAACAAUCUCAUUUAUAUCUGCAAAAGCAAAAUAAAAUAAAAAAAUAGGGCGAGGAUAAAGGUGAGAGAAGAUAGACAAACUAAUCCAUUUCAGGAUGUGUGUGCUCCCAUUCCAACAAAGAUCCCUCACAUGAGUCGAACUCUUGACAUUUUGAUUUAUCUGGUGAUCCUGUAGAACCUUACGUUGCUAGACCAAUACCUUGUUGGCAAAG